rnacentral:rRNA from 1 species
AACAGCUCAAAUUUGAAAUCUGGCUCUUUCAGAGUCCGAGUUGUAAUUUGCAGAGGGCGCUUUGGCUUUGGCAGCGGUCCAAGUUCCUUGGAACAGGACGUCACAGAGGGUGAGAAUCCCGUACGUGGUCGCUAGCUAUUGCCGUGUAAAGCCCCUUCGACGAGUCGAGUUGUUUGGGAAUGCAGCUCUAAAUGGGAGGUAAAUUUCUUCUAAAGCUAAAUAUUGGCCAGAGACCGAUAGCGCACAAGUAGAGUGAUCGAAAGAUGAAAAGCACUUUGGAAAGAGAGUCAAACAGCACGUGAAAUUGUUGAAAGGGAAGCGCUUGCAGCCAGACAUGCUUGCAGUUGCUCAUCCGGGCUUUUGCCCGGUGCACUCUUCUGUAGGCAGGCCAGCAUCAGUUUGGGCGGUGGGAUAAAGGUCUCUGUC